rnacentral:rRNA from 1 species
UACGUAGGUGGCAAGCGUUGUCCGGAUUUACUGGGCGUAAAGAGCGCGCAGGCGGUUCCGAUCAGUCGAAUGUGAAAGCCCCCGGCUUAACUGGGGGAGGGUCAUUCGAUACUGUCGGACUCGAAGGCAGGAGAGGGAAGCGGGAAUUCCCGGUGUAGUGGUGAAAUGCGUAGAUAUCGGGAGGAACACCAGGUGGCGAAGGCGGCUUGCCCUCGGAGGUGUUCCUU